rnacentral:lncRNA from 1 species
CUUCAGUCUGUUGCGAGCACUGUCUCUUUCCAUUUUCACUUUCACAUUUUGCCUCAGAUUAGUAUCAUUGGAGUGGCUGCUGUUAAAACUUGUGCUUUGAAUGAAGAGAUCCUCCAAACAGGCUUUGUGUGAGCAACAUGGCUGUUUUUCACCUGGGUGCAGAGCCCCCACAAAGUUAAAAGUUUCAGUCUUCUGGAUCUACCUUGCAGGUGAGGAAAAAAAUCUCGCUGCCCUCUCUCUGGCUCCUUCCCAGAAAACUUUCCUGACAGCCAGACAGGCUGGCUCUAAGCACCACCUCCUGCUUAGCAGUGCCCCAUCACCACUCCAGUCUCCCUGUUGUGUUCUUACAUACACCUCUCUUGCUCACAAAUCUCUUGCUAAGUAUCUGUGUCUUCUUUUCCUUUAAUAACUGCUUUCUUUUUAAGAAGUAGCUCUGUGUUUUGGAAGUAAACAUAAAUAAAAUCCUCCAUCUCUUCCACAAUUAGUCAUUGUUUCUCAAACUUGAGUAAUGUAUGAAUUAAUCCCUUUUAAAUAGGAAAACAUUUUAGGGGCAAUCUAAUGACAAUUUAAAUUGUUUUCAUGAUGCUAUUUAAACAAGUAAAAAUGUAAAACAGUGGAUGAAUGCCUUAAUUUUAUAGGCCUUAUACAACUUUACAACAAAUAAAAUUCAAGUGAAACUUAAAAAGAAAAUAAUAUCAUGUUAAUAACAUUAUUUUAAUGUGAUGCAUAAUGGCGUUUUGCUGAAAAAAAAAAUCAUCCAGUCCUGGAUUUAAUAGUAGAAAGAUGCAGACUCAUGUCUGGUUUUAUAAUUAAUCUGUUUUGGGAUUUUGAUUUCAAUAAUGUAAAUGUAGGAAAUGUCUGUUCCCAUAAGGAUGUGGUACAAAAUGGUAUUAAUAACUUCAAGUCUUUGUUUGCAAAUUAAGUAUAUUCAGGACUUCUGCUUAACUAAGUCUCUGCCAGGAGCAAUCCUAGAGUGCCAGUUUUAUUGUGGAGUCACUUGAUAAUUGUUUAAAUUUUUGUUUUGUCUUGGAGAUAAUAUGAGUACUGACACUAUUGUAAUAUGUAUUAAAUGGGUAUGCAAUCUAAUUAUUGCUGGAACUGGAAAUAGAACUAUUUGACAUUGCAUAUUUUCUGCUAAUGAAAUAUUAGUUUCAAAAUGGGAUGUACAUUAUAGGAUUCUUAAAACCAUUUGUUCACAAUGUGAAUACUGUUUAGCAUUGACUAUAGAGAGUCUUGUGAGGUUAGUAAGCCUGUGUUAUCAUGUAAUCACAGGAUCCAUCAAUUCUACCAUGAAAUUUUUUUGUUCCAAAGAAGAAACCACUUUCACACAUUCAUUUUGAUUGUUACCUGAGCCUUACUCAGUGAAAAAGGGACAGAAAAUAUAAACUGCAAGAAAGUACUCAGUUAUCAGGUACUUCAAAUGAACCAGAUAAUUUAAUAUAUGCUCGUAUUAAUUUUGUAAAAUUUUUGUGAAAAUAAAAAUGACUUAGAGAAUAAAAAAUUGAUUUAGAGAACUCUCAAUUUUUUUUUGCUUUACUAAAUAAGACAAUUAUAAAAUGCUUCGUGUAAUUUUAGCACUAAAGUUAUUACUGUUGAUUUAGUCUAUUGCAAUUGUUAUGCUAAAAUAUUUUAUAGGCUCCCAAAACAAUUAUUUACAUAUUUUUAAUGUGUUGUGUACAUAUAAAAUCAGACACUAGACCAGGCACAAUGGCUCACAGCUGUAAUCCCAGCACUUUGGGAGGACAAGGUGGGUGAAUCACGAGGUCAGGAGAUCAGGACUAGCCUGGCCAAGAUGGUGAAACCCCAUCUCUACUAAAAAUACAAAAAUUAGCUGGGUGUAGUAGUGGGCACCUGUAAUCUCAGCUACUCGGGAGGCUGAGGCAGAGAAUCAUUUGAGCCCGGGAGGCAGAGCAACCUUAGUGAGCCAAGAUCGUGCCACUGUGCUCCAGCCUGGGUGACAGAGUGAGACUCUGUCUUAAAAAAAGAAAAAAAAAAAAACAGACACUAGAAGAAAAUGCCUGAAUAACCAAAAAUUAUAACAUUAGGACUCACACGAAGCCACUCACAUGAAAAAACUCACCGGUGCUUCAGAAAGUUAAGGGUUUGUAAUCUACAAGAUAGAAGCCUAAAGGUGUCUGGGCAUCACAUUAUAACUUACCUUGAUAAUCUCUGUACACAUAGAUAUUAUAUUGCAAACAGAAUUUUGUGAUUGGCAAUUUGAAUGUUGCUAUGCAUAUAACCCAUUAUAAAUAUUGACAUUCAUCUUUGUUUUGGGCAGACAUAGUGGCCAACUGCCUCCAGUGUCCGCAGCCCCUUUGAACUCUGCUCAUAACCCUUUGUUGCAGGGAAUAGUGGAACACAUUAGUGGCCAUCUUAUGUCUGGUGUGAUCCUGGUUUCUUGCCCAGAUGAUAAAAUUGGAGAAGAGUAGCAUAACCAAUCUAUAGAUUGCAAAGUAGGAAAUGAGGGGGGCAGGCCCAGGAGUUUUGUCCAAAAUGAUAAUGAAGAAAAACUGAAUGCAAAUUUAUAAAGUUCUAAAUUAUAAAAAAAAAAAGAGAGAGAGAGAAAAGUAGUUGGCCAGUUAGUAAAUAGAGAAGGAGAAGAAAGGUGUACAGAAAGAAGGUAAUAGCAAAUUUCUGGCAAUAGGACUAAUGAGGCAGAAGUUGUGAGUAACCAAAAAUGAGGAGAAAGGAAGAAAUGCAAGCUCUGAAUCCAAAAGGAAUUAAGUAGAAAUUUAAUCAGUGUAGCAAAUAAGAAAAAGGAUGAAAAGUAUACUUAGUGGAAGAACUGAUAGAAUUGAUUGGCUCCUGAAUGACUUUCUAAAGUCGAGGCUGAAAAGAGAGUGGGUAGCAUUGAAGUCCAUGAAACUCAGCCCUACAGAAGAAGAUUCUGUUUAUUUUUGUGGGGCCUGGUUUGGGGAAGUGUCCUGAUUCCCAGGAGGCCAAGAUGAAUGAGCACAAUUUCUGUUUUUCUACUUUCCACAUGGAGCUUUGUAAUAAGCUCCACAUGAGUUAAGAUAUUCUUAAGGAACUUCUGUCUUUGCAACACCAAAAGAGACUUAAUUCAUACAACCUUUUUAAUAAUUGCACAACACUGUACUCAUUAGGUAGCAUAUGAAUUUACUGUGUUGUGUUAAAAUCGUCCAUUUAACUUAUUGAUUUCUUCCACUUCAGCUUCUAGGCCUGGGGUUAUGCAUGUUACCCACAUCCUCAGUGUUGAGACACAGGAAAUUAUCCAUAACUUUUUGCCAAAUUAAUGAAUGAAACAGCCACUCUAAAAAACUACAAGUACAUGCACUAGUCUUUAAUCAUCCCUAUUUACAGUGCUUCAUUUGCAUAAAAUGCAUAUAUUUGCUUGGUAUGGCAAAUACAUGACACACAUACACACACACAUAUUUUAAUAAGGAGCACAUAUUUAAUAAGUGCUCCUUCUGCUAACUCAGAAAUGCAAGACAGAAAGUUUCUCUCAAAUAGCUAUUUUGAUCUAUGAAGAAUUAUUCAGGGUCUCUCUCACUUACAUAAAAGCAGGGAAAAUAGACUCACUGGUUGUGGGCAUGGGAAAGGUGCAAGAAAACCUUUUAUUUUGAAUCAAUGCUACCCACACUCUUUUCAGCCUCACCUUUACCCCCUAACUCUUUACCAAACAUCUUGGUACAUCAUAGGUGGUUACUGGAGAGGAGAAUCCAAGGCCUUCUGGGAGAAAAAGUAAACAAAUCCCCAAACCUUAUUCCCUGAGAUACAAAUUUCAGAAAUUCAGCUAUGUGGACCAUCACAGUGGUUUUAAUUAAUGGCCUCACAGCUCAAAGAAGAGCAAGAAACCUUUUACAUUAAGUCAUUUUGGGAAAAUUAGCUCCCUAUACAAAUGUGCCUAAGUUGGUCCUCAAGUUUUGUGUGAGGAUUUAUUCUGACUUGAUCUGGAAAGUGCCUCCUGAUCCUGCCACAAUGGUUAGGCUUUAGAGAAUAAGAACUGAGCAAGGGAAAGUUAAUUUAAAAGAAAGACCACCUUGCCUCCCAAUGUGGGGCACCAUUAUGACUUUGUGCAUGGCCCUGAACCAGCAAGAGCUACCCUGCAGCAAUGAGCAAGACUCUGCAGCUCCACCAAACCAGUCUCUCACAACUGUGAGUAAUAGCAGUAAGCAAUGGAGUUAUGUACUGUACUCACUCUCUGGCCCUGGCUCUCUGUGGCUAGAAGCAUAUUCAGGCUUUCAGAAAGAGAUGUCCUUGGGGGUUAUUCAAUGGUUGGUGUGUGGGGUGGAUAAGGAAUGCCUCAAGAGGGUGAUACUAAAAUUCUUUAUAAUAGACACAUUGGAGAUUUAGUAACUCAUUUUAACACUAAAAGAGGCACAACUACAGUGUACCCCAAUGUUGUGGAGCAGGUAAGGUGUAUUUCUUUGAACAAUUUUUGCCUGUUUAUGCAUUUAUUUGAUUUUUUCUUUCCCCUUACAGUCUUUUCUGCUUUACUCUUUUCAGUCU